AUGCUCGCUUCGGCAGCACAUAUACUAAAAUUGGAACGAUACAGAGAAGAUUAGCACGGCCCCUGCGCAAGGAUGACACGCAGUGUUCUGUUUAUCCACUGGGUUGA